CUUGACCCAGGAAAUUCAUAUAUGCUUCCUUACUAAUGAGACUUUCUAUACAACAAAGUGAGGUCAUUCUUUGUUGAUAUAUACCAUAAGGUGCUGGCUAUCAUGUGUUUGAAGAUACCCUAAACUUAACCUAACAUAACCUAACAAAACCCAAAACAGUCACUAUAGGCCUUGACCCAGGAAAUUCAUAUAUGCUUCCUUAGUAAUGAGACUUUCUAUACAACAAAGUGAGGUCAUUCUUUGUUGAUUUAUACCAUAAGGUGCUGGCUAUCAUGUAUUUGAAGAUACCCUAAACUUAACCUAACAUAACCUAACAAAACCCAAAACAGUCACUAUAGGCCUUGACCCAGGAAAUUCAUAUAUGCUUCCUUACUAAUGAGACUUUCUAUACAACAAAGUGAGGUCAUUCUUUGUUGAUUUAUACCAUAAGGUGCUGGCUAUCAUGUGUUUGAAGAUACCCUAAACUUAACCUAACAUAACCUAUCAAAACCCAAAACAGUCUUGACCCAGGAAAUUCAUAUAUGCUUCCUUACUAAUGAGACUUUCUAUACAACAAAGUGAGGUCAUUCUUUGUUGAUUUAUACCAUAAGGUGCUGGCUAUCAUGUGUUUGAAGAUGCCCUAAACUUAACCUAACAUAACCUAGCAAAACCCAAAACAGUUACUACAAGUCUUGACCCAGAAAAUUCAUAUAUGCUUCCUUACUAAUGAGACUUUCUAUACAACAAAGUGAGGUCAUUCUUUGUUGAUUUAUACCCUAAGGUGCUGGCUAUCAUGUGUUUGAAGAUACCCUAAACUUAACCUAACAUAACCUAACAAAACCCAAUACAGUCUUGACCCAGAAAAUUCAUAUAUGCUUCCUUACUAAUGAGACUUUCUAUACAACAAAGUGAGGUCAUUCUUUGUUGAUUUAUACCCUAAGGUGCUGGCUAUCAUGUGUUUGAAGAUACCCUAAACUUAACCUAACAUAACCUAACAAAACCCAAAACAGUCUUGACCCAGGAAAUUCAUAUAUGCUUCCUUACUAAUGAGACUUUCUAUACAACAAAGUGAGGUCAUUCUUUGUUGAUAUAUACCAUAAGGUGCUGGCUAUCAUGUGUUUGAAGAUACCCUAAACUUAACCUAACAUAACCUAACAAAACCCAAAACAGUCACUAUAGGCCU